rnacentral:rRNA from 1 species
UACGUAGGGGGCAAGCGUUGUCCGGAUUUAUUGGGCGUAAAGAGCGUGUAGGCGGCUAGAUAGGUCCGUUGUGAAAACUCGAGGCUCAACCUCGAGACGCCGAUGGAAACCAUCUGACUAGAGUCCGGAAGAGGAGAGUGGAAUUCCUGGUGUAGCGGUGAAAUGCGCAGAUAUCAGGAAGAACACCCGUGGCGAAGGCGGCACUCUGGGACGGUACUGACGCUGAGACGCGAAAGCGUGGGGAGCGAACAGG